AACGAACGCUGGCGGCGCGCCUAAUACAUGCAAGUCGAGCGAGAAGACGUAGCAAUACGUUUGUAAAGCGGCGAACGGGUGAGGAAUACAUGGGUAACCUACCCUCGAGUGGGGAAUAACUAGCCGAAAGGUUAGCUAAUACCGCGUACGCUCCUUGGACUUCGGUUCAGGGAGGAAAGCGAUACCGUGGGUAUCGCGCUCUUGGAUGGGCUCAUGUCCUAUCAGCUUGUUGGUGAGGUAACGGCUCACCAAGGCUUCGACGGGUAGCUGGUCUGAGAGGACGAUCAGCCACACUGGCACUGCGACACGGGCCAGACUCCUACGGGAGGCAGCAGUAAGGAAUAUUGCGCAAUGGGCGAAAGCCUGACGCAGCGACGCCGCGUGGGGGAUGGAAGGUCUUCGGAUUGUAAACCCCUUUCGGGAGGGAAGAUGGAACGAGCAAUCGUUCGGACGGUACCUCCAGAAGCAGU
rnacentral:rRNA from 1 species